AACGAACGCUGGCGGCAGGCUUAACACAUGCAAGUCGAGCGCCCCGCAAGGGGAGCGGCAGACGGGUGAGUAACGCGUGGGAAUCUACCCAUUUCUACGGAAUAACGCAUGGAAACGUGUGCUAAUACCGUAUACGUCCUUCGGAAGAAAGAUUUAUCGGAGAUGGAUGAGCCCGCGUUGGAUUAGCUAGUUGGUGGGGUAAAGGCCUACCAAGGCGACGAUCCAUAGCUGGUCUGAGAGGAUGAUCAGCCACACUGGGACUGAGACACGGCCCAGACUCCUACGGGAGGCAGCAGUGGGGAAUAUUGGACAAUGGGCGCAAGCCUGAUCCAGCCAUGCCGCGUGAGUGAUGAAGGCCCUAGGGUUGUAAAGCUCUUUCACCGGUGAAGAUAAUGACGGUAACCGGAGAAGAAGCCCCGGCUAACUUCGUGCCAGCCGCCGCCGUAAAAC
rnacentral:rRNA from 1 species